CAGUGUCACUCACUGCAGUGCAUUCAUACUGGGGUCAUUUUCUGGGGCUUAACAGCUGAAAAUGAGCAAAACUUUAUAAGUGGUCUGGAGCAGUGUUGUAAGGAAACCCCAGAGCUCCAGAAGUGUUGCAGAAGCCACUGGACACCUCUCCUUGUCAAGAAUUCCUGUGUCAGACUGUUCUGCUUCCAUCAGGCAGCUCCCAGGGCCUCAGGAACUUGGGCAAACAUCCAGAAUGGGAUGAGUGAAGCCAGAGGAGGCUUUGCUGCUGGUGCUGUGCUGUCUCUCCACUUGUCUGAGUGCUCCCAGUAUUCCCAGUGCUGCCCACUGGGGUCACUGGUCUGCCUGGCAGAAGUGGGGACAGCAGGAUCCCAUGGGGAUUCCAGCAGGAAGGAGCAGAGUGGAUGGGACUGGACUCCCCAGCUGGGCUUGUUCUGGCUGAGAAACCUGGAGAUAUUCCUUGACAACCUCCCAAAAUCUGCACAAGCAGUGGAGAAGGAGAAAACAGAGAGCUUUGUACCUAUCCAAAGGAGUGGAAUUGUCCCUGGACUCUGCUGGAGAGCAGAAUGUCACCAGUGCAGAUGACUGGUUUGGGCUGAAAACCAGAAGAUGGGUGCAGAUGUUCAAGAGAAAGCUGGAUUUUUGCCUUUUAACCAGGAAAAAGCUAAGUAUUAAUCCCAAGAAAAGCAUGAAUACCAUUUUUUAUGUUAGAAAAAACCAGGAAAAAUGCAAGGAAUAAUAAUGUUUUAGAAAAAUA